UAUCCUAGUAUGAAUGAUGACUCAAAAUUGCUACAUCUAUUGUCUGUCUAUAUGUUAGGCUUUCGGAGGAGGAGAAAGAAAAUCAAAAAGAAAGGUCCUGAAUGAAGUUUCCUUCAGAGGACAGGUGUAUUGACACAGCAGUAAACAGUAUGGCAGGGGUCCGGAGUGAGAGGCGUCAGUCCUGGAAGGCUGCAUUGAUUGAGUCUUUUAAAUAGUAACUCAACCUCUCUAUUGCUACACACCACCACUCCCUGUCCCUCUGGAGGGCCACUGGUCCUGCCACAUUGGACUCAGCUGUCAGCUGCAGAAGCCCACAAACACUGGGCAUGUUACCUAAGCAGAACCCUGCAAAGUUCCAAGCCAGGCUCAUGACUCAGUGGGGGAAGCAGUGUUUCUCCCUGAAUCAGCCCCAGCCAGGCCACAUCUGAGGCUUAGCCCAGCCAAGAGUCCAGCCACUGCCCAGCUGCCUGUGGACACACGGGCCCUGUGCUGUCUCAGCUGAGAGGUCCCCAUCUACUGACUCACUCGCACCUGGGGCUUCUUGGCUGGUCAUCUGGAAAGGUACAAACUGAAGUUUUCUUUAUCCAAGGCAAUCUUUUAGAAGUCACCCUACGUUUCUUCAAAGUGUCUGGACGCAGUGUGGAGCGUGGUUUAUUUCGUCCAUGUUGCGGCAGCCUGUGUUGGAACUCGCUGAGGUUUGAAGCCUGUCAUCAACAUACAGACUGACAUGAACUUUCAAUGGGAGUCACAGAGGGCUGUACGGGCAAACAGGAGAAAUGACAGGGUACCAAAGACCGCCCUGUCAGCUGAAGGGCACCCUGGAUGCCUGUCUCUGAGCCCUCACACUCCUGUAACCUGUGAAGAGUGGGCAAGCAGAACAGGUGAUGGGUCAUGCAUCUUCCUGACACACUGUGAAGCAGGAAGAAACAGGAACAGUAGCUCUGUGUUACACGUGAGGAGCGAGAAGCACCAACAUGGUUGCUGUCCUGGAACUCACAAAGCAGGCUGCCUGGGCUUGCCAGGGAAGCCCCAGGAAUCUGCCCCUUUCUUCCACAAUUCUUAGAUCAUUAUAAGUAAAACGUUAUUAGUGAAUAUGUAUCAUGUUUUUCUCAUGUAUUAUUGUUGUAUUAUUAUAUACGGAUAUAUCAUCAGAGACUCAUAAGAAUAUAAAAGAAAAAGUUACAGUUAUAUGCUCAGACAUUAGCAUUGGUUGUAACUGAUGUUGAGAUUGGAGAACAUUAUUUCCUUAUUUUGUGUUCUCUUAUACAUAACUUUGUAACACAAACAACAAAGACACUGCAAACAUGGAUCUGGCACAGGGUACUUCCCUGACUUAAGUACAAAAAAGAAAUUAAAUUUAAUAUCUAAAGUUCCUGAAAAUAUUUUAUAGUCACACAGCAUGGACCAAGUCUGUUUCAGGAUGUGUGCUCUGUUUCGGAUGAUUGACCAGCAAGCCCCAAGGAUCUGCCUGUCUCCACCACCCCUCGACCUCCUAGCAUUGGAACUGCAGACAGGAGCUGACACACCCAGGCUUUCACAUGGAUGCUAAGAAUGAUCUAACUCAGGUCUCAGGCUUCCACUGCAAGUGUUGCACCCACUGAGCCAUCCAUCCCGCCCCCUCUACUCUUCGGAAGUUUCCAACCCUAAUAUGGUUUCCGACAAUUGUGUCCAACAAUAAAUAUGUUUUGCUUUAGGGAGGAAAUUCCUCAUUCUCUUCCUUGAGACUCUCUGUUGAACAAAGACAGAUCUUUUGUUAAAAGUAUAAGUUACCAGCUGCCAUAUUCUUGAUAUCUGCAUUCUUUGCAGGGUCUUCAUUCUGGAUUUCAUCUUCAAUAUGGAUCCACAGGCUUUAAGAACAUAACGCUUUCUAAAGAGCUCCAGCAAUGGAAACAGCUGUCAGCUCUUCCACCAAAGAUGCUCAAACCAUCACGCUGUCACAUUUAAAUAUAAGAAGCCCCCAAUAUGGAAGAAGACAUCGCUUCUGGUUACCGUCUUGUGUGUGCUAGCUCUCUUUCACUAAUGUCCACUUAAAAAAUAUACAUCAUAACUUGAGCACAGCGGCACAUGCUUUUAAUCCCAGCACCUGGGAGGCAGAGGCAGGCGGGUCCCUGAGAUUUGAGGCCAACCUGGUCUACAGAGUGAGUUCCAGGACAGCAGGGGCUAUAUAGUUAAACCAUCCAUGUUUUGAAGAAACAAGCAAGUGUAUAUUAUUUACUUAUAUUACAUAUUACAUUGUGCAUAUAUAGUAUAUAUGCAUCAUAGUAAUCUGUCCAUCCCAUACAUUGAAUGAAUUGAUAUUUCAAUCUCCCAAAAAUCUGGAGAAGAAUGUGUGUUCCUUGCUGAGCACUUAAGUGUGUUUAUGAACUGAGUAAAUCAUGCCUUGGCAAAUUAUCGGACUAAAGCAUUGAGUUUCACAAGUGCAGACUUAGAAAUUUAGCAACUAUUAACUUUAACUUUUUUCCCUUUAAAGUUGGGGUAGUAUUUCUCACCGAGGACAUCUUUCCACCAAACUUAAUAUUUAUAUCUCCAACUGCUUCAGAAGUCAGACAGCCAGAUAGAGAGCCAAAAGUGUGAAGUGACAAAGAGUUUCUCAGAUUCUCUUACUGAGUCACGUCCAUCCCCCUUCAAAAGCAGCUGAAAGCUGUUUCUCUCCGAGAAUUUUCAAGAUUGCCUGUCUUCCGUAUGACAGCUCUGUGUUCUGAGAGGAGUCCUAUUAUAAAGAAAGGAAAGUACAAGCUUAAAGUGAAACUGUCUGGUUAACCAGUGUGUGCCCUUUAGCUGUUCCCGAGGAGCCCUUAUUGCCACAAAACACAGAAAUAAGGACAAAGCAGCUGAGACCGGGAGUCACAGAGGAGCCUUGAGGAGUGGCAGAUGCCCUCAGCGUCUGCAAGUCUCACGAAGUCUAUGAGAGUUAGCACUGAAUCAUGGUUCUUAAGAAGAUUAUGCCACAGAGAACCAGUAGGCUGUCUGACCCCUGCUCUAAAGAUGCAUCUGAAACCUUGCAGGGCAGUCUGUCUGACUUCCAGGAUGAGUGGGCAGGUGGUGAACUAAGACAAGGUGACAGGGAGACGUCAUAGAGGUACCUUUUGAGAAAACACACAUCUAUGAGUCUGCUGACUGAUUGUUCCUCUGCAAGUCUCAAAAAUCUAUUUUUUUCCAGUGAAGUUACUCCUUAAGGUUAAAAAAAAUUGUUGAUCCAAACAACUUUUUAAAUACCAGGCAUAGGAGCAUGGUGGGAUGCAGGGACGCAGAUUUCAUCUGGAAGUUCAGCAUCCACUGCUCAUUCAAAAGGCACGUUACUCAACCACCCAUCAAUAGCCCCACCCACCAAAACCCAGGACAACGUGGAAGAGCCCAUCCUGGAGAGUGCUGUGUGACGCAAAGAUGUCAGGCUGGAGGAAAGUCAUCAAAGAACAAGAGAUGCUAUCAGAGGAAGACAGGAAGACCCAGGAAACACGGUGGCCAAAUUGCAAAGGACAGUAGCAGAAGGAACACCAGCGGGGAAGAGAAGCCUCACUGCUCAGUUUAGUCUGCAUCACCAGGACUGGUGAAGGCUGGAAGAAGGACUCGAAUCCUCUAACUCUGGACCUGACCUUACAGACCAUUGUCAGCAAUUAUGUGGAUGCCGGGAAUUGAACCCCCAGUUCUCUAGAAGACUCACAAGUGCUCUUCACGGCUGAGCCAUCUCUCCAGCCUCUCUUCAACUUCUUUUAAGCAUCUAAAUUCAAUGAUAAAUUUUGCCAGAAAAAUAUCCCUGCAUUGCUGGUCUGUCUCCUAAGCCACGGGUCCAGGGGAAUCUAAUCACACUUUGCUUAGCCCAUAUGUUUCAGAGGGAGUUGAGAAUACCAGAGAACCAACUGGUCCUUUCAGAGCCAGAGAAAAGUUUUGAUUGGUAUAGAAUCUUAAUGAUGUCAUUUCGCAUGUAGUUACCAUAGGCUGGUAAGAUGGCUUAGUGGACAAAAGCCCCUACCGCCAAAGUGUGGCAACCUGAAUUCAAUAUCUAGGACCAGAUGCAAAGAGGAGAGAGCCAAAUCCUGCAAGUUUUCCCUGACUUCCACGUGUGUGCCCGGGUACACGUACACUUGUGUGUAAGUAAAUAAAUGUCAUUUCAAUUUUUACAGCAAACGCAGUAGAAAAAGCCGAGUGCCUUUGGGAGCUCUGCUUGCUCACAUUUUCUCAAGCUUCCUCCUUUGGAGGAUAGGAUCUGCUCUCAUCACUGAGCCAUGCAAGGAUGCUAAUAAACAAACAAACAAAAAAAAUCACUUUUGAACAGCGUUUUUCAUCAGCAUUCUGUUUCCGAGCCUACCGAGUGACUCAUCCUGAGACUGGGUGCUGCAGCCCCUGCCCCGGGGAAUGGCUGAGUGAGUGACUAAUAGUUCACACUGGAGAGAGAGAGCAGGAAGUUGGCUCUGCGUUUAUUAUUGGAACCAGACACUAAGGAGCUGUUUUAAAAAGCACUUGAAAAUACUUGAGCCCCAAGGAAUGUUGCUUGCUUACCUACUUUGCAUCAUUCUUGCUGUUAAGGUUAAAGGUGACUUUGCCUCUAAAUGGGCUUUGGAGGUGUGACAAUAAAUUAAGUGGUGAGAGAUAUUUGGAUUUUGACGCUAAAAGAAAAGCACGUCACAAGUUACUAGUAGAAAGAAAUAAAACCUCUGUACUGGCUAGUUUUGUGUUAACUUGACACAGCUGGAGUUAUCACAGAGAAAGGAGCUUCAGUUGAGGA
rnacentral:lncRNA from 1 species